rnacentral:sRNA from 1 species
UAUUCUGCCCUACGGGGAAGGAUGAGAAGCUUCGACCAAGGUUCGACUCGAGCGUAGCGAGAGAACGUUGCCGCAGGCAACGGCCCGAAGGGCGAGGAGCGAUAGCGACGAGUUAUCCUUCCCCCACCAUCA